CAUAGCCGCGGUAAUACGGAGGGGGCUAGCGUUGUUCGGAAUUACUGGGCGUAAAGCGCACGUAGGCGGCUUGUUUAGUUAGGCGUGAAAUCCCCGGGCUCAACCUGGGAACUGCAUCUUAUACUGCGUAGCUGGAGUGCAGUAGAGGGUAGUGGAAUUUCCGGUGUAGCGGUGAAAUGCGUAGAUAUCGGAAGGAACACCAGUGGCGAAGGCGGCUACCUGGACUGACACUGACACUGAGGCGCGAAAGCGUGGGGAGCAAACAGGAUUAGAUACCCCUGUAGUCCCUGUCUCUUAUACC
rnacentral:rRNA from 1 species